rnacentral:rRNA from 1 species
CUUUGAUUCUGGCUCAGGAUGAACGCUGGCGGCGUGCUUAACACAUGCAAGUCGAACGGGGUUAUCAUUUUCGAAGUGAUUAGUUUACUAAGAGCGAAGAUGUUGGUAACUUAGUGGCGGACGGGUGAGUAACGCGUGGGUAACCUGCCUUACACAGGGGGAUAACACUUAGAAAUAGGUGCUAAUACCGCAUAAGCGCACGGAUUCGCAUGAAUCAGUGUGAAAAACUCCGGUGGUGUAAGAUGGACCCGCGUCUGAUUAGCCAGUUGGCGGGGUAACGGCCCACCAAAGCGACGAUCAGUAGCCGGCCUGAGAGGGUGGACGGCCACAUUGGGACUGAGACACGGCCCAAACCCCUACGGGAGGCAGCAGUGGGGAAUAUUGGACAAUGGGGGGAACCCUGAUCCAGCGACGCCGCGUGAGUGAAGAAGUAUUUCGGUAUGUAAAGCUCUAUCAGCAGGGAAGAAGAAAAGACGGUACCUGACUAAGAAGCCCCGGCUAACUACGUGCCAGCAGCCGCGGUAAUACGUAGGGGGCAAGCGUUAUCCGGAUUUACUGGGUGUAAAGGGAGCGUAGACGGUAGUGCAAGUCUGAAGUGAAAGGCGGGGGCCCAACCCCCGGACUGCUUUGGAAACUGUGCGGCUGGAGUGCAGGAGAGGUAAGUGGAAUUCCUAGUGUAGCGGUGAAAUGCGUAGAUAUUAGGAGGAACACCAGUGGCGAAGGCGGCUUACUGGACUGUAACUGACGUUGAGGCUCGAAAGCGUGGGGAGCAAACAGGAUUAGAUACCCUGGUAGUCCACGCCGUAAACGAUGAUCACUAGGUGUUGGUGGGUAUGGACCCAUCGGUGCCGCAGCAAACGCAGUAAGUGAUCCACCUGGGGAGUACGUUCGCAAGAAUGCAACUCAAAUGAAUUGACGGA